rnacentral:rRNA from 1 species
GUUGGCGGACUGUUCGCUCAUCUAGAUACCACAAAAGGUGUUGGUUCAUUUAGACAGCAGGACGGUGGUCAUGGAAGUCGAAAUCCGCUAAGGAGUGUGUAACAACUCACCUGCCGAAUGAACUAGCCCUGAAAAUGGAUGGCGCUGAAGCGAACGACCUAAACUCGACCGCCAGGGCAAAUGCGAGGCGCUGGCGAGUAGGAGGGCGUGGUGCUCGGUGACGCAGGUUGGGCCGUGAGGCCGACUGAAACGGGCACUAGUGCAGAUCUUGGUGGUAGUAGCAAAUACUGUAAUGAGACCUUACAGGACUGAAGUGGAGAAAGGUUCCAUGUGAACAGCACUUGGACAUGGGUUAGUCGAUCCUAAGAGAUAGGGAAGCUCCGUUGAAAAGGAGUGCGAUUCUCCCCGGCGCAAGCCGGGCGCCAGAGCGCACCGCCUAUCGAAAGGGAAGCGGGUUAAUAUUCCCG